CCUACGGGAGGCAGCAGUGGGGAAUAUUGCACAAUGGGGGAAACCCUGAUGCAGCGACGCCGCGUGAGCGAUGAAGUAUUUCGGUAUGUAAAGCUCUAUCAGCAGGGAAGAAAAUGAUGGUACCUGACUAAGAAGCCCCGGCUAACUACGUGCCAGCAGCCGCGGUAAUACGUAGGGGGCAAGCGUUAUCCGGAUUUACUGGGUGUAAAGGGGGCGUAGACGGAGAUGCAAGUAAGAUGUGAAAGCCCGGGGCUAAACCCCCGGACUGCAUUAGGAACUGUGCUGCUAGAGUGUCGGAGAGGCAGGCGGAAUUCCUAGUGUAGGAGUGAAAUGCGUAGAUAUUAGAAGGAACACCAGUGGCGAAGGCGGCCUGCUGGACGAUGACUGACGUUGAGGCACGAAAGCGUAGGGAGCAAACGGGAUUAGAUACCCCUGUAGUC
rnacentral:rRNA from 1 species